rnacentral:rRNA from 1 species
UACGGGGGAUGCAAGCGUUAUCCGGAUUUAUUGGGUUUAAAGGGUGCGUAGGCGGUCCGGAAAGUCAGCGGUAAAAGCCCGGGGCUCAACCCCGUCGAGCCGUUGAAACUGUCAGACUUGAGUUGGCGAGAAGUACGCGGAAUGCGCGGUGUAGCGGUGAAAUGCAUAGAUAUCGCGCAGAACUCCGAUUGCGAAGGCAGCCUGCUGGACUGUAACUGACGCUGAUGCUCGAAAGUGUGGGUAUCAAACAGG